AGCUGCAGUCGAGAUCAUUCGCAUGGGCGAAGCCUGACGAUGCGACGCUGUGUGAGUGAAGAAGGCCUUCGGGUUGUAAAGCUCUUUCGCCUGGGAACAAGGAAUGCUAACUAAUAAUUAGCGGACUUGAGCGUACCAGGUAAAGAAGCACCGGCUAACUCC
rnacentral:rRNA from 1 species